GUUAGAGGUAUUGGCAGAAACGUCUCAGAGCGGGCUCAACCUUAAUCUAUAUUGGUACUAUCACUCACAAGCAAUAUUGAAAUCACAUAGGAGGCAAUAUAUAGGCCAUUAUCUGCCCUUUGCUAUAGAUAUCCAUGACUAGUAUACAUAGUUACAUAGCUGAAAAGAGACUUGCAUUCUUCAAGUUCAGCCUUCCUCACAUAUGUUUUUCCU